UACAGAGGGUGCGAGCGUUAAUCGGAGUUACUGGGCGUAAAGGGCGCGUAGGCGGUUAUUUAAGAUUGAUGUGAAAUCCCUGGGCUUAACCUAGGAACUGCAUUGAUUACUGGAUAGCUGGAGUACUGUAGAGGGUAGUGGAAUUUCCGGUGUAGCGGUGAAAUGCGUAGAGAUCGGAAGGAACACCAGUGGCGAAGGCGGCUACCUGGACAGAUACUGACGCUGAGGCGCGAGAGCGUGGGGAGCAAACAGG
rnacentral:rRNA from 1 species